AUCUUAGAAAAGGAUCUUUCACCACCAUUGUUACGGUUAUGCUUCCUGUGUUCAGCAUUGCAACUUCUGUGCUUACUGUCGCUAACACUUUCAGCAGUAAACAUUUCAUAAUCAACCUGACUAUUGACGUUACAAAUAAGCUCAUCCUUGCAAUCAUUUUCCGAACGAAACAAAUUACCAAACAUGGUCUCCAACUCCUUCAACAACGAAUCAAGUUUCCCAAUGACACCAACCUCUCCUUCCACCAAGUUCCCAUCUUUAAGUAUUGCUUUUAGCCAAUGAUCAAACUCUCUCAGAUACUUUGCAUACACCAACUUCAAAGACGCAACAGCCCCAGUAUCCGGCCCACAACGCUCUGCAACACAACCCCACAAGUUCUUGUACGAAACCAGAUCAUAACCACCUAGUUUCCUCACAAUCCAGAAGAGUUUAAACAAAUCUAUAGGCUUCCCACUACCACUCAAAACUGGAAAGCUCCGUACACUUUUUUUCUCAGGUUUCUG
rnacentral:misc_RNA from 1 species